GUUGGAUGUGGUGGUGCACAACUAUAGUUCCAGCUACUAGGGAGGCUGAGGCAGGAGGAUUACUUGAGCCAGGAGUGCAAGGCCAGCCUGGGCAAUAGAGUGAUUCCCUAUCUCAG
rnacentral:sRNA from 1 species